rnacentral:rRNA from 1 species
GACGAACGCUGGCGGCGUGCCUAAUACAUGCAAGUAGAACGCUGAAGAGAGGAGCUUGCUCUUCUUGGAUGAGUUGCGAACGGGUGAGUAACGCGUAGGUAACCUGCCUUGUAGCGGGGGAUAACUAUUGGAAACGAUAGCUAAUACCGCAUAACAAUGGAUGACCCAUGUCAUUUAUUUGAAAGGGGCAAAUGCUCCACUACAAGAUGGACCUGCGUUGUAUUAGCUAGUAGGUGAGGUAACGGCUCACCUAGGCGACGAUACAUAGCCGACCUGAGAGGGUGAUCGGCCACACUGGGACUGAGACACGGCCCAGACUCCUACGGGAGGCAGCAGUAGGGAAUCUUCGGCAAUGGGGGCAACCCUGACCGAGCAACGCCGCGGGAGUGAAGAAGGUUGUCGGAUCGUAAAGCUCGGUUGUAAGUCAAGAACGAGUGUGAGAGUGGAAAGUUCACACUGUGACGGUAGCUUAACAGAAAGGGACGGCUAACUACGUG